rnacentral:sRNA from 1 species
CUGGCAGUAAUAGAGACUGAAGUCCUUUUUUUGUAUCCACAGGAUGGAUACAGUUGGGUCAUUCCUGUGUGAGCCUCUCCAUGCUGCCCCGUCAAUGACCUGGAGGGACUUCCUUCCCUCUCUUAGAGAGAGAAGAUGUUCCGUCUCCAUAGCAGCUCAGUUCUGGUCCUCC